UCCCUCCCUGAAAGGCAUCAGAAGCGGCCGCAUCGAUGACGAUCAUAUUCAAACUCGGAAGCUUUUCUUCAUCCCACCCGUCGCCGUUGUUGUUCACCACCACCAGAAACGGAGGCGCCUGCUUCUGCUGGUCUCUCUUUCCUUUUUACUCUGCUUUCUCCUCUUCGUCGUCAGAAUCCUCGGAGCCGAACGGGAGAGAACGAUGAGAUGGUCGCGAUGAUGCCCUAAAUCCAAACCCCUUUCUCCCCCCAUGGUGGGAUCUCGGAGCCGCCGCGGAGGAGGCGGCAGCGGUACCGCCACGGGGUUUCCGCCUACGCCGACGUCUUCCCGACACAGGUCGCUGCUCGCCUGGACGACUACGCCGAGGUCUUCGGCGACCUCGCUGGCUCGUGCUCCAUUCGGGGGCUUGGCCUUUGGAGAGUUCGUGGCUCCCUACGAGGAGAUGUUUGCGGUGUCGAAGAGAGGAGGCGUAUUCUUCGAAUGGAAGGAGUGGCUUUGAAGUUUGCAGCAUGUGAUUGACAAUGUCCAUUGCUUGUGGAGCAAACACUAUUGCAAUACGUGGACAUGAUUCCAUCUAUCAGGAUUAGAAAUUAUCCUCCAUUGAAGUAGGUGACAUGUCCACCCUUUUCACUUUUGAUUUCUUUUUCAUUAUCAGUUGCUGUCAGUUACUUACUGCUUUUCUUUGUAGCUGUUAUAUAAUCUUUCUGCGUUCCAGUCAUCCUUGGUACAUUCUUAGUUUCAUUGUUCACAUGCUGCUCUUGUGAGGGCUUUGGAACACUCUUGCAUCUGCAGUUGAUGUUUUCUAACUGGUGAUAAAUUGGCAAUUCCAAGAUUUGUGUUGCGUGCUAACCCAACCGAACUGAUCAUAAUAAACUAUGCUAAUAGGCCGAGCUGCUAUGAAAAUUUAGUUUUCUAGAUAUUUCAUAUCAAUUUACAUUUUACUUUCUUGUUGAAGUAAUCUCAGCUUGAUAUUCAAAGCAGACACAUUCAUCAAGUAUCAUUCAUGACUAUCUUCUUUCUUGACUAAGUUGCUUAUGUUGGUUUAAGUUUGGUGGAUAAGCUUGAUAUUGUGAUGACAAUUGAUGUCUUAUGUUUCCCUACAAGUUCCAAACUUUGGAAAGCUGAUACGAAGUUCUAGUUAUCAGCAAGUUCAUGUUUAGGAAAUUACUUUUUGAGAGAUCCCCUCCAAAUCACUGGUAUCACUAACAAAAUCUUGAUCUUGUAUAUGGAGGAGCUUGUGUGGGUGCCUGCUUUGCACUAGUUUUGUUCCUUUGUUCUUUCAAUAAAUAGAGAAGACAUUCUUAUCCAUUACCUGCAUCUGACCUGGAUCCUACUUAGAAUCGACCUGAGCUUGACUUGGGGACUCCUGGACAUAUUAAAAGGGUAUAUGUCUCAGAGAAGACCCAUUGAAACAAGUAAUUUUAUUUCUAAUAGGAUGUAUUGCUAUCGUAGUCUUUACAUUCAUAAUGAGUAAUUUGAUUGUGUAGUUAUUUUAUUCACAUAACUUCUCAACAUUCUAGUAGUUAUUAUUUCAAAGCAUAUUUUCCUUUCGACGUUGGGGUGUUUGAGACUAUCUACUUGAGCAUUCUUUCAUUAUGAUUAAUUAGUUAAUUUUAACAUGAAAUAGAUUUAUGUUUGGCUUUUUAGUAUUUUCAGUUCACAAAACAUAUUUUAUAUAGAUUCAUUGUUGUUAAGCCUACAUUGUAUCCAAACUUGACUUGGACCUUAACUUUUUAUUUGACCUACACCCAUAGCGGAGCUGAAAGUAAAACUGUUAGAAUCUGGAUCUCAUUUCUCUAACCAAAGCCCCUUUUUUUAGGUAUCCCCCUUGGUAAGUGAUACCCGGAACAAUACCUUCCGUACAUGAAUUUGAGUCAUGUUUUCACUUGUGUUUAUGAUCAAAAAAAUUCAGUGGAUAUCGUCUCCUACUGAUCGAAUGUGUUACAGUCAACCAGGAUUAAGUUUUAUUUCUCUUACAAACAGAACUAUAGGUUCUGGAAGCCCAGCUCAUGGGUAAUUAUUGAUUGGCAUACUCGAGAUAUCAUAUUUGCCUAUUUAAUUCGAACCCUGUUUAUUGUAGUUUUGUAUAUCUUAGCCUUAAGAAUAAAAUUUCCUGGUGGCUGAAGAAUUAGUUACUUGGAUCUGCAGAUAUUAGCGUUGGUUGCUGGCAUCAUGCUUGGGUUCCAAGAAUUUUGCUGCCAGAAGAGAAGCGUCACCACUAAGGCAUUCCAUUCCAUUCGAUGUAGAACUGUGUUGUCUACCAACAUUGUUGCAACAGGUUCAGCUGAGAAAAAUCUUUGCAAGCAUAGAACUGAUAACCGACAAUAACCUGUACAAAAUAGUUGAUCUCUGGUGUUAUCUUGGAGAACAGCUUCUCAUGGAACUCACCAUUGUGGAUUGCAUUAUCACGAGUUGUCAAGACUUGAUUGGCUCACAAUGUUCUGUUUCUACCCUGCAGUUAAUGACUGAACAACAAGGUUUAGGGAUAGUAGAGAGAGAGAAGCAUACGACUGUGUACGUGUGAUAAGAAGGAAGGCUACGUCAGCAUUCCUUCGUGCUGUGAGAUGUGGAACGUACCUGAAGAUUAAACAGCUAUUCCAGCCAGAGGUGUCUUUGUCUCUUCCACGCAUGAUUGCAGAAUAGAUGUCUUUGAUCUUCUCCGAGUGGGAAGCUGCGAUUACUUGUCGCCGAUCAUCUCUCCAUCGGAACAUGGCCAGCCAGCCAGAUCUAACAGCAGCCUAAGGAAUUUGCUGAUUUGGCAUGUAUCCAUGUUGAUUUGGUGUGCAACAUUGAUGACAUAACAUCUAUAUCAGUUUACAUUCUCUUCUUUAGAGCAAA